rnacentral:rRNA from 1 species
UAAGGAAUAUUGGGCAAUGGACGCAAGUCUGACCCAGCCAUGCCGCGUGGAGGAUGAAGGUCCUCUGGAUUGUAAACUUCUUUUAUCUGGGAAGAAAUCCAUAUUUUCUAAUGUGGUUGACGGUACCAGAUGAAUAAGCACCGGCUAACUCCGUGCCAGCAGCCGCGGUAAUACGGAGGGUGCAAGCGUUAUCCGGAUUCACUGGGUUUAAAGGGUGCGUAGGUGGGCAGGUAAGUCAGUGGUGAAAUCUCCGGGCUUAACUCGGAAACUGCCGUUGAUACUAUCUGUCUUGAAUAUCGUGGAGGUUAGCGGAAUAUGUCAUGUAGCGGUGAAAUGCUUAGAUAUGACAUAGAACACCCAUUGCGAAGGCAGCUAACUACACGAUCAUUGACACUGAGGCACGAAAGCGUGGGGAGCAAACAGG